AUAUAUUAUAUAUGACCUGCUGGAAUUCUUGGUUAUUGGUAUUUAUUCAUCAGAAAAUUUGUAAUGUUAAUAUUGAUUACCUUAACAUUGUUGUUUUUUUGUAGGUUGAUGCUCUUAAAAUGCCACUUGAAGCAAAGAAAGUGGUUGCUAAUGUCUAUGUUGCAAUGCGUUACUGGCACCCAUUUACUGAGGAAGUUGUUCAGUAGUCAACAAGAUAGGGAGAGAGGUUAAGGCUUGAUAAGGAGGAGAUAGAAAAGCAAAGACAAAAAGGUUAUGGGGUGCGCAAACGCAACGAUCUUUGCAGAAUUCUGAAAUCGGUGGUGAGUGUGAAAGAAUGCCUGAACUGAUCAUUCGCUAUUUGUUAAGUUUCGUUUUACAUUAGUUACUAGAUCAUUUGGUAAAUGAGAUUACAUGCGUUUAGGUAAACAUGG